AGCCCCGAUCAAGGUUUGUUCCUUUUUCUUCUUCUCCGCUCUGCCGUCCCCAAAUCGCCGGUGCCUAGCCUCUGCCCCGACUCCAGCGAUGCCACUGCCGGCACCGAUUUCCCAGCCUCGGCUGCCUUUCCUCUAUGCCCUAGCAUCUCUGCCGAUGCCACUGUCUCUCUUUCUCCCGACGCCGAGCAGCACCGAGCCCUAGGUGCCAACGCCGUCGACGCCUUUUUUCGACCUCUUCUGUGCCACUCCGAGACUCCUUGUCCGAGUUCUCACCGUGCCCUAGCCCCCGCUCAGCAGAUAGCCGGCUGCCAACACUCAAAGCAAUUGUCGAUUUGUAGCCUCUGCCCUAGCCUCUGUUUCCGACGCUGGUAAGGGUUCUGCCGUGGCCACCACUUGGGAUCUGUAUGUCGUCGUCGCCCCUUUGCUCUGGUUUACUGCCUCAGUAGCCCUUGCUGGAAACAACACCGGUGACCUAACUCCUCCGUCCUCUAAUCCAGUGAGCUACUGGAUGAAGCAUCAAGAGUUUGUUGCUGUCUCUGUUUGAUUCCGGCCACCACCCCCUGUCAACAGCUUGACACACCUGAGUAGGAAGGAUUCCAGCAGCAAACGAUCCUACUUCCAACAGUGAUAAAACGGCUGUGAGUUUCAGGAUCUUGACGCGAGACGAGUAUCUUGGAGUCAGAUUUGGAUCACUUUAUUGGAGG